UUAAGGAACACUUCGCUAGUUCUCUUACCCUUAACCUCCCCUUAACCCUUAAGAAUCCAGUGCCCUCCCCUUAGACAGCCCUUCCAGGUCAUUGAUGAUGUGAUUUGGGGGAGUUGAGAUCAACCACUGCUAAUAGGGAACAAAAUAGGGUCACCGAUUCUCUUAUAUUAGAAGCGACAGUUGACCAGCCUAUUUCAUCAACACGUCACUCCAUGUGUUUUGCUCAUGUUAAAACACUAGGAUUCUCCGAAACCAGCCUGUUUUAUCAACACAUCUGCUUCACACUCUAUUUGUUUUGCUCCUGUGAAAACACUAGGAUUCUCCGAAAAAUCCCACCGAUUCUUGACUCCUCUAUCGUUCCGCUAUUGUUACAAUUAGUAUUCGUAGAAGUUCCUCCUAUAUUUACCUACAAUUAGACUAGACGUGCUAGGAGCUACUUUUGCUAGGAAUAUUUUUAUAAAUAUUUCUAAUGACUUCAGCUACUGUUAUUGCAAGACUCUAUGGUACAAGUGACCUAGCUCCAAUGUAAUGAUCCUGUUUAAUUAAUAAGUACUACUAUUUUCGUUUCAA